rnacentral:rRNA from 1 species
GACGAACGCUGGCGGCGUGCCUAAUACAUGCAAGUAGAACGCUGAAAUAAGAGCUUGCUCUUAUGGAUGAGUUGCGAACGGGUGAGUAACACGUGGGGAACCUACCUUCUAGCGGGGGAUAACACAUAGAAAUGUGUGCUAAUACCGCAUAACAAUGAUUGAUGCAUAUCGAUUAUUUGAAAGGCGCAAUUGCGUCACUAGAAGAUGGCCCCGCGGUGCAUUAGCUAGUUGGUGAGGUAACGGCUCACCAAGGCAAUGAUGCAUAGCCGACCUGAGAGGGUGAUCGGCCACACUGGGACUGAGACACGGCCCAGACUCCUACGGGAGGCAGCAGUAGGGAAUCUUCGGCAAUGGACGCAAGUCUGACCGAGCAACGCCGCGUGAGUGAAGAAGGUUUUCGGAUCGUAAAACUCUGUUGUAAGAGAAGAACGUUGAUGAGAGUGGAAAGUUCAUCAAGUGACGGUAUCUUACCAGAAAGCCACGGCUAACUACGUGCCAGCAGCCGCGGUAAUACGUAGGUGGCAAGCGUUGUCCGGAUUUAUUGGGCGUAAAGCGAGCGCAGGCGGUUGAUUAAGUCUGAUGUGAAAGCCCCCGGCUCAACCGGGGAGGGUCAUUGGAAACUGGUCAACUUGAGUGCAGAAGAGGAGAGUGGAAUUCCAUGUGUAGCGGUGAAAUGCGUAGAUAUAUGGAGGAACACCAGUGGCGAAGGCGGCUCUCUGGUCUGUAACU